CACCAGCACACGAAUUUUAAGUGUAAUGCUACUAGAAGUCUAGAACUCACACACACACAAUUACUGAGCUCGUUAACAUGGAAGCGGAGAAAUUGAAGGAGGUGCAGAUGCAUAUGCAGGUGAAGGUCAUUUAUAUCUGGAGUAUGAUAUGUUCCUCUCUCUCACACACAGACACACAGUUAAACACACACUGAUGCAGAUCCUUGUCAUUCAAGCACCGAUCGACACGUUUCAGCUGUUGGAUUUCAAACUAUGGCGAAAGAAAGAUCACCUGAUCAAGAAAUUGUCGCCUUGAUUACGAAAUGAAACACUGCAUCUUCAUGUAUGGAGUUUUAAUUUGUCGCCUUCAGGAAAUGAGAAGCUGCAUCUUAAUCUAUGGAGUUUUAUAUAUGAAGGAUAUAUAGGUAUCGUGGUUUGUCUGGUUUUGAUGUACAUGAAGCACACAGGGGAUUUAAAAGUUCUAAAGUAGCAUUCAUAAUGAGAUCUAUAUAUAUUAAUGGUAAACCAAUGCUUCUGAUUUGCAAAAUGCAUUUGAAUUUUGAUGUUUGUGACAAAGUUGUCUUGUUGCUUCUUAUCUUUUAUAUGAUCUCUUUCUCAAAUCCUUCAUUAACUAGAUAUGAUGAUUUUCUUAGUAUCUCAACUUAUAGAAAGAUCUAUAAGUUGUAUAACUGUUAUGCAUAUAGUCAAUAUUGUACCCACAAACAUUGUUGACUGUUUGGUGAAUGUUGUACUCCCUUCGUCCACGAUAUAUAUCGUUUUCACUUUUGCUA